AAUGCUGAGCUGUAAUCCAUCAAGCUGUUUCCGCAUAGAGAAAAGGCCAUAUGAGUACACAGCCAGAAGGUGUCUGCCUACAAGACAAAGAGGGAAAACUUACCUGAAACCAACCCUGAUGGAUAUUGGAUUUCUAAGCUCCAGAACUGUGAGAAAAUUAAUUUUAUGUGCUUUAAGACACUCAAUUUGUGGUAUUCUGUUAUGGCAGCCUAUGCUAGUCAAUUUGCAUUACCAUAAAGCAACACCUGAGAGUGGGUAAAUUAUAAAGAAAAGAAGUUGAAUCGGCUCAUGGUUCUGCAGGCAGUACAGAAGCAUAGUGCUGGCAAUUGCCCCUGGCAAGGGGCUCAGGAAGCUUACAAACAUGGCAGAAGGCAAAGGGAAGCCAACAUAUCACACGUAAGCUCAGGAAGCUUACAAACAUGGCAGAAGGCAAAGGGAAGCCAACAUAUCACGUGGCGAGAAAGACAGAGAAGCGGUAGGUCCCAGACUCUUUUAAACAACAAGACCUCAUGUGAACUGAGGGGAAACUCACUUUCACCAAGGAGAUGGUGCUAAACCACUAAUGAGGGAUCUGUCCCAUGAGCCAAUCACCUCCCACCAAGACCUACCUCCAAUUUUGGAAAUUAUAUUUCAACAUGAGAUUUGGAGGGGACAAACAUCCAAACCAUAUCCCAGCCUGAGCAGACUAACAGAGUCUCUGAAUAAAUCUAUGAAAAUGACUAGAGUAUUAUUUUGUUGAGUGAUUUCUUCUUGUAUUAGGAUUGGUCUCCUUGAAAAUAUUUUUCUCAUAUCUGUUAUAAUAAAAUACUGAGAAUCAUACUAAUUCUACUCUAAACUUAGAUAUUUAAGAGGGUUGGAUUUGACUGAUUGCUCUGAUGUUGCUAACAUAGUCAAAGACUUUUCAAAACUAAAGUGUAAUAUUAUGUCAUGCAACCUUGAGAAAAUUACAAUGGACAAAGCAGAACUAUAAUUCACAAUUCAUCUCCCAAACAAAUUGUGACACCCCUUCUUUCCAAUCCACUGAAAUAUGCCUAAAAUGAGAAAAAAGGGAAAUCUUAAAAACAACAACAACAACAACAAAGAAAAAACAGAAAACGGCAACAUUCAGGCAAAAAAGAAUGUGAGGACUAUGAUGCUGGCAUGCUAAACUUAAUUAAUAAUAAAUGAGAGAGUUUGGAAUGAUUAUAUGUGAAUGAGUUUCAAUCCUGAUAUCUUUUCCCUUCAUUUUUUCACCUCAAAGACCUAGUCCAUCAGCAUCUUUUAUUACUAUCAUCAGCCUUCCAGAGCCUCUGCCAAGAUGUCUGCUGCCUGGAGCCCAUGGGUAUAUGUCCCAAUUAGUCAUAGCCCAGGGUCAAAUGUGUCAUUCCAGAGAGCCAACAGUUCAUAGCUAAUUUACGUUUCCUUGUCAAAAUGCUUAAACCACGUAUUUUAGAGCAGUAACUAGAAAAACUAGGAAAUAAAAACUUGAAAAAUGUCAACGGGAAAUGACUU
rnacentral:lncRNA from 10 species